UUCUUCCACAGAUUUUAACCAAUUAUUAUAUAUUGGGGCGGCCUUAGACUUCCAGUUCCUUGGGAUCAAUGCUUUAGCAGCUUGUAUUAAUUGAAAGGUACGAAUCCCACUUGAUCGGCAUGUAUCAAAUCCGGUUUGACCCCAGGGCUAUCAGAUGUCCUCUCAAGAAGCAUUUUAAUGUUUCCCAUAAUGUUAUUGGGUUAGUUUCCGAUGUAUCGUUAUUGUUGAUUAUUUGUAUAAUCCACUCGUGUAUCCUUUCCCUGUUUUCCUCCUCAUGUAAUAAAAAUUCAUUUAAUCUCCAAUUGAACUCAGGUUUGGAGACCCUUGGUAUAGUAUAUUUUACUAUCACUGGUGAAUGGUCUGAGACAUUAAAACUCGCUAUGUAUGCCUGUGUAAAUAAGUGUGUCCAUUGUUGUGAUGCCAUUAUGUAAUCUAUUCGCGAAUAAACUUGGUAUUGUUUUGAAAAGUGAGUGUAAUCUUUCUUCUUAGGGUUCACUAUCCUCCAGAUAUCCACUAGUUGUAAAUCAGCUAAGGCU